rnacentral:rRNA from 1 species
UCACAAUGGACGAAAGUCUGAUGGAGCAACGCCGCGUGAGUGAAGAAGGUUUUCGGAUCGUAAAACUCUGUUGUUGGAGAAGAACGUAUUUGAUAGUAACUGAUCAGGUAGUGACGGUAUCCAACCAGAAAGCCACGGCUAACUACGUGCCAGCAGCCGCGGUAAUACGUAGGUGGCAAGCGUUGUCCGGAUUUAUUGGGCGUAAAGCGAGCGCAGGCGGUUUCUUAAGUCUGAUGUGAAAGCCUUCGGCUCAACCGAAGAAGUGCAUCGGAAACUGGGAAACUUGAGUGCAGAAGAGGACAGUGGAACUCCAUGUGUAGCGGUGAAAUGCGUAGAUAUAUGGAAGAACACCAGUGGCGAAGGCGGCUGUCUGGUCUGUAACUGACGCUGAGGCUCGAAAGCAUGGGUAGCAAACAGGAUUAGAUACCCUGGUAGUCCAUGCCGUAAACGAUGAGUGCUAGGUGUUGGAGGGUUUCCGCCCUUCAGUGCCGCAGCUAACGCAUUAAGCACUCCGCCUGGGGAGUACGACCGCAAGGUUGAAACUCAAAGGAAUUGACGGGCC